UACGGGGGGGGCAAGCGUUGUUCGGAAUUACUGGGCGUAAAGGGCUCGUAGGUGGCCAACUAAGUCAGACGUGAAAUCCCUCGGCUUAACCGGGGAACUGCGUCUGAUACUGGAUGGCUAGAGUUUGGGAGAGGGAUGCGGAAUUCCAGGUGUAGCGGUGAAAUGCGUAGAUAUCUGGAGGAACACCGGUGGCGAAGGCGGCAUCCUGGACCAACACUGACGCUGAGGAGCGAAAGCGUGGGGAGCAAACAGG
rnacentral:rRNA from 1 species